CUUGCUCCUUUGACGUUAGCGGCGGACGGGUGAGUAACACGUGGAUAACCUACCUAUAAGACUGGGAUAACUUCGGGAAACCGGAGCUAAUACCGGAUAAGAUUUUGAACCGCAUGGUUCAAUAGUGAAAGACGGCCUUGCUGUCACUUAUAGAUGGAUCCGCGCCGUAUUAGCUAGUUGGUAAGGUAACGGCUUACCAAGGCAACGAUACGUAGCCGACCUGAGAGGGUGAUCGGCCACACUGGAACUGAGACACGGUCCAGACUCCUACGGGAGGCAGCAGUAGGGAAUCUUCCGCAAUGGGCGAAAGCCUGACGGAGCAACGCCGCGUGAGUGAUGAAGGUCUUCGGAUCGUAAAACUCUGUUAUCAGGGAAGAACAAACGUGUAAGUAACUGUGCACGUCUUGACGGUACCUGAUCAGAAAGCCACGGCUAACUACGUGCCAGCAGCCGCGGUAAUACGUAGGUGGCAAGCGUUAUCCGGAAUUAUUGGGCGUAAAGCGCGCGUAGGCGGUUUUUUAAGUCUGAUGUGAAAGCCCACGGCUCAACCGUGGAGGGUCAUUGGAAACUGGAAAACUUGAGUGCAGAAGAGGAAAGUGGAAUUCCAUGUGUAGCGGUGAAAUGCGCAGAGAUAUGGAGGAACACCAGUGGCGAAGGCGACUUUCUGGUCUGUAACUGA
rnacentral:rRNA from 1 species